rnacentral:lncRNA from 1 species
UAUUUUUUAAAUUAAAAUUUCAUCUUAAAUUUAAUGUUCAAACUUUAAAAAAUUAAUUUUUUAAAAUUAUAAAUUUGAGAUUUUAAAAUUUAAAUUUUAAUUUUAAUUUUUAAAUUAAAAGUUUAUAUUUUAAAUUUUAAAAUAUAAAUAUAAAAUAUAAAAGUUUAAAUUCUAAUAUACAGAAAAAGUUAAUAUCAUUAUUUUUUAUUUUUAACGACCAACUUUAAUUUUUAUUUCAUCUGACCUAACCAAACGCUAUUUUUCUUAUUCCCAGCAAUAACUCAAUUUUCAUCCAAACACAAAAUUGAUCUAAUCUUCACUUAUAUCUCAAUUUAUACUUAUCACCGGAAUAUCCACUUUUUGUUUAUCCCUGAACCAAACGAUACCUUAAAAUCCAGCUCAACUAGGUGCGUUUCAAAAAAAAGAUUUUCUUAGCUUCUCCAGCAAAAUAAAUAAAUUAUU